rnacentral:lncRNA from 1 species
UGCCAAGUGGCCAGAGCACUUCUAGAACCAUCUGCUGGGUUUGAGAUCAGAAGCCGGCGGCCUGUGGCUCCAUCUAGAUCCAGCGGCACUGUGACGCGAUAGACGGAACACACAGAGUUACAGCAGCGGGAGAACAGAAGCCGCUGCCUUCAGGAGUGACCGCCACUGUGGAAGUUUCCAUUCAUUAAUGUCCAAAUCUCCCUGAAAAAAAUUAGAAAGCUUUGGAUGCUAGAAGGAUUCUUAUUAUUUUAACAACACCAAAAGCCACUAAACUCUUCUAAUUGAGAACACUCGCUUAGGGACUGUUACAAAAAUGACUUCUUGAUGGACUAGGGAAAGACAUCUAAAUUCCACUUUGGGGGGGAAGUGUCUUUCUCUGCCAGGGAGAGCUGGCUUUUCAAAUGUUUUCAAUCACUGUCUCCGGCACAAGCCUUUACGUUUAGGCCAGGUGAGACACCCCCGGCCUGUGCAGGGUCUGACUUGCACACGCUGAGCUUCAACAGCUGGGUGGUGGGUGGGGAGGGCAGGCGCAGAAGGGGUCUCUGGGAGAGGAGGCUUUGCAAUCGUGGUCUAUUGUGAUCAGGAAGAUGGCAGCUCUCUGUAUUCAUAAUCCACACAGCGAUGUCACUUCCAAAUGCACAAAGACUUCAUACUCACUAUCUUUCCACAGCCGGGGCUAAAAAGUUGGAAGAUCCUAUCUCAGAGUGUUGGGUUAUGAAAACAGGAGACCACCUCUUGGAAGUACAGGUAUUCAGGAGGACGUGCAUGCACACCAGGGGACCCCAGAGGACAGCUGAGUGUCACUCAGGUGUUUCCUCUUCUUCUCAGAGAUUUCCAAUUAUCCAGGAAGCCACCGUCCCCUUUGGCAAGGCCUGGGAUGCCAGGCUCAAGGAGGCUGCGGUGCCCCCUCCGUUUUGAGGGCAGCGGCUCGGUGGGAAAGUCGAUGGGUAGCUGGAACUGAUAACACGAGCCUUUGGGGAAAGGACAGGGUGUGGAGGAAGAGAAGGGAUUUCUGCAGCGGGGCCAGGCUCCCGGGAGACGCAUGGAGACUUGCGGGCCUCAGGGAGGGAAGGCCUCGGUAUCCUCAGGGGCUCACCUGGGCUCUGAUCCUACUUGUGCUGUCAAUGCAAAGGCUGUGUGUGUUCCCAGGACUUCCCACCACCAUUUGUCUCGGCAGCUGCUUGCUGGUAUGUGUAUGACCCAGGCCUCACAGCUGUGUCUGUGGGGCAGGCUAGGCCUCCCCGCCCCCGCCCCUCCGAGCAAUGCCUUUCAGGAAGCCUCCCGUGGCUGCGCAGGCCACAGCAGCAGCGAGCAGCCCUAGAGCCCCGGGUUCCCGGCCAAGGAAGAGGCGAGAAUGGGUUGCUGUGGCAUGUGAGUGCAUCGUCCGCAAGGCGGGGACCGGGUCUUCUUGCUAUUUUGGGUGGUAUUCUGGGUGCCCCCCAGGGGACUCAAUAAACACUUGUAGGGCAUCAUGGUGACCAUGGCAGAGACCGCCUCUGUCCACCAGGGACAGCAGCUCAUCUCCUGAAAUGCAGAUGCAGAGACGCUUCUGAGAGAUCCCAUGUCUCACCUCAAAGUCACGAAGUCAGUGAACGUCUGGUGAAAAAAAAUGUCAUGCCUGGAGCAAGAAAGACUCUUCUGUGAAGCGCUCAAAUGCAUGAACGAGAGUAAAUCCGUUCACCGUCCAAAUAUGCCUUAUCCUGGACAGGUAGAUGGGUGGACAGUGUUGUUUGCUUUUAAUUUUAAAAUAUCUUUUAAAAAAUGACCGUAUAGGCCAGGGACAGUGGCUCACACCUAUAACCUCAGCACUUUGGGAGGCUGAGGCAGGAGGAUAGCUUGGGCUCAGGAAUUCGAGGCCAGCCUGGGCAACAUGGGGAGACCCCCCCCCCAUCUCUACAAAAAAUUUUAAAAAUUAGCUGAGUAUGGUGGUGCACGCCUAUGGUCCCAGCUACCUCGGAGGCUGAGGCAGGAGGAUAGCUUGGACUCAGGAGUUUGAGGCUGCAGUGAGCCAGAAUCAUGCCACUGCACUUCAGCCUGGGGAACACAAUGAGAUCUUGUCUCAAAAAAAAAAAAAAAAAAAAAUGCAGCUAUAGAAACCAAGGUUGGAGGAGGAGCGAGUCAGGGAAGGGACAGGACUGGGGACUCAGUAGGGAGAAGGGCUGAUUCCCAGGCGCUGUUCUAAAGACUUCCUUUCUCUUACCACAAAGCAAUGCAUGAGCCAGAAGGAACAGGAGGCUUUAGUAGGCCAAGUGACUCUGCCCCCAUCUCCUCUGGGCACUCAGGGAGGGCUGGUGGCAAACAUGAUGGAAGACUCAAGUUAUCAUAGAGUCCACGUGCAGGCCUUGUGGUAGUAUCGCCAGAGCUCUCAUGACCUAGAAACACGGCAGCCACACUUCUGUCAUCUUUCUUGCUCCCUGGGGAUUCUCUACUGCAAACGGACAGGGCAUUGCCUUUCAGGAAUAAAAAGAGGCUGCUUCCCAACACCAAGAAUCCAUCUGGUAAGGACUGAGCUGCUAUGAACUGGGCAAAAGGAACCAACCUCCUGGAUGGGUGGCUGGGGUGGUGGCUUGGGCUGGUGACCAUCCUAGGAUGAUGGUCCUUCUUUUCAUUGAAAAAGGAAGUUCAGCAAGAGCUUAAGGAUCUUAAGAUACCAUUCAAAGAGUUUUCUACUUCCUUGGAAGACUUGAAUGUGGCUGUAUUUGUUUUGCAUUCAGCCCAAGAAAGGUAAUGGAAGGAGCCUCAUAAAACAAGAGCUGGUCUUGAACAAAAAAAUACUGCACAUUAAAAAGAUUUGAGGGAAGCCCAGCUAUUUCUUCUCCCCCAUUUCUUUGUAAAAGGGCCUCAAAAUGAUCAGUCCCAAAGGCCAGGACCCUUUUAGCGGUACGCCCCAGGACCCAGGGGUAGAGUCCGGGGGUUAGGCAUGGAAACCGGGCCUCACAGCUGGUGUGCUCACGACUGUCCUCCCCACGGCUCAUGCUCCAAUGCUGCCUGCGUCAUCCAGAGAAAUGUGUUUGGGAUGAUCACCCCCAAAGCCCCGCUGAGAGCCCACAGCAGGGGUGGGCUCCCAGGCAUUCCCAUUCUGUGGUUUGGGGUGGAACCUGCGAGUCUGCACUUUUGACAGGAGGUGCAGCUGCAGCUAGGGCAGGGUCCACAUGGUGAGAGACCCUGGCAGCUGCUGGGUGGCACAGUCAGACAUCAGGGACUCAGCCGGGCAGGGGACAGUGAGGUCAAAUGUUCACCCUGUCCUGGACGGGAGGUGGGAGCAGAUUGGCCCCUGGUCACUUCUUCGAGGCAGGAGGAG